rnacentral:rRNA from 1 species
GAACCUUCGGGGAACGAUAACGGCGUCGAGCGGCGGACGGGUGAGUAAUGCCUAGGAAAUUGCCCUGAUGUGGGGGAUAACCAUUGGAAACGAUGGCUAAUACCGCAUGAUGCCUACGGGCCAAAGAGGGGGACCUUCGGGCCUCUCGCGUCAGGAUAUGCCUAGGUGGGAUUAGCUAGUUGGUGAGGUAAGGGCUCACCAAGGCGACGAUCCCUAGCUGGUCUGAGAGGAUGAUCAGCCACACUGGAACUGAGACACGGUCCAGACUCCUACGGGAGGCAGCAGUGGGGAAUAUUGCACAAUGGGCGCAAGCCUGAUGCAGCCAUGCCGCGUGUGUGAAGAAGGCCUUCGGGUUGUAAAGCACUUUCAGUCGUGAGGAAGGCGGCGUCGUUAAUAGCGGCGUUGUUUGACGCUAGCGACAGAAGAAGCACCGGCUAACUCCGUGCCAGCAGCCGCGGUAAUACGGAGGGUGCGAGCGUUAAUCGGAAUUACUGGGCGUAAAGCGCAUGCAGGUGGUUUGUUAAGUCAGAUGUGAGAGCCCGGGGCUCAACCUCGGAAUAGCAUUUGAAACUGGCAGACUAGAGUACUGUAGAGGGGGGUAGAAUUUCAGGUGUAGCGGUGAAAUGCGUAGAGAUCUGAAGGAAUACCGGUGGCGAAGGCGGCCCCCUGGACAGAUACUGACACUCAGAUGCGAAAGCGUGGGGAGCAAACAGGAUUAGAUACCCUGGUAGUCCACGCCGUAAACGAUGUCUACUUGGAGGUUGUGGCCUUGAGCCGUGGCUUUCGGAGCUAACGCGUUAAGUAGACCGCCUGGGGAGUACGGUCGCAAGAUUAAAACUCAAAUGAAUUGACGGGGGCCCGCACAAGCGGUGGAGCAUGUGGUUUAAUUCGAUGCAACGCGAAGAACCUUACCUACUCUUGACAUCCAGAGAACUUUCCAGAGAUGGAUUGGUGCCUUCAGGAACUCUGA